rnacentral:rRNA from 1 species
UACAGAGGCCUCAAGCGUUGUUCGGAUUCAUUGGCGUAAAGGUGCGCAGGCGGUCGGGUAAGUCGGAUGUGAAUCCUGGGCUCAACCUCAGAACUGCAUUCGAUACUGCCUGGCUAGAGGAUUGGAGAGGAGAGUGGAAUUCACGGUGUAGCAGUGAAAUGCGUAGAGAUCGUGAGGAAGACCAACGGCGAAGGCAGCUCUCUGGACAA